rnacentral:rRNA from 1 species
CUGGCUGUAAACGAUGAGCACUAGCUAGGAGGGGCGUAGGCCCUUCCUAACGGAGCGAAAGUGUUAAGUGCUCCGCCUGGGGAGUNCGAAGAACCUUAUCCUAGGCUUGACAUGGUCGGAUUAGUUCCGUGAAAGCGGAAUGACGCCUUCGGGUGGAACGAUCACAGGUGC